rnacentral:rRNA from 1 species
UACGGGGGGUGCGAGCGUUGUCCGGAAUCACUGGGCGUAAAGGGCGCGUAGGUGGCUUUGUAAGUUUGCGGUGAAAGCCCGGGGCUCAACCCCGGGUCUGCCGUGGAUACUGCAAGGCUUGAGUACUGUAGAGGCAGGUAGAAUAUCGGGUGUAGCGGUGGAAUGCGUAGAGAUCCGAUAGAAGACCGGUGGCGAAGGCGGCCUGCUAGGCAGUAACUGACACUGAGGCGCGACAGCGUGGGGAGCAAACAGG